GAUGAACGCUGGCGGCGUGCUUAACACAUGCCAGUCGAACGAUGAAGCCCAGCUUGCUGGGUGGAUUAGUGGCGAACGGGUGAGUAACACGUGAGUAACCUGCCCUUAACUCUGGGAUAAGCCUGGGAAACUGGGUCUAAUACCGGAUAGGAGCGCCUACCGCAUGGUGGGUGUUGGAAAGAUUUAUCGGUUUUGGAUGGACUCGCGGCCUAUCAGCUUGUUGGUGAGGUAAUGGCUCACCAAGGCGACGACGGGUAGCCGGCCUGAGAGGGUGACCGGCCACACUGGGACUGAGACACGGCCCAGACUCCCACGGGAGGCAGCAGUGGGGAAUAUUGCACAAUGGGCGAAAGCCUGAUGCAGCGACGCCGCGUGAGGGAUGACGGCCUUCGGGUUGUAAACCUCUUUCAGUAGGGAAGAAGCGAAAGUGACGGUACCUGCAGAAGAAGCACCGGCUAACUACGUG
rnacentral:rRNA from 1 species